rnacentral:rRNA from 1 species
UACAGAGGUCCCGAGCGUUGUUCGGAAUUACUGGGCGUAAAGGGCUCGUAGGCGGCCAACUAAGUCAGACGUGAAAUCCCCAGGCUCAACCUGGGAACUGCGUCUGAUACUGGAUGGCUUGAAUCCGGGAGAGGGAUGCAGAAUUCCAGGUGUAGCGGUGAAAUGCGUAGAUAUCUGGAGGAAUACCGGUGGCGAAGGCGGCAUCCUGGACCGGCAUUGACGCUGAGGAGCGAAAGCUAGGGGAGCAAACGGG